UUAAAUCACAUCAAAGUGGGAACAUUUUACGGUUGCAGCUCUUUCCAAGAACUUCCUGAUAAAUUACUAUAUGGAUAUGAAGUUAAAUUGCUUGUUACCUUUUUAGAAAAAACCAAUUUUAAGUGUUCAGUACAUUACUCAAGCAAACUCUUACAAGGAGAAAAAAGAAAUGGAACGUGGUCUGGAA